rnacentral:rRNA from 1 species
UACGGAGGGUGCAAGCGUUAUCCGGAUUCACUGGGUUUAAAGGGUGCGUAGGCGGAUAAGGAAGUCCGUGGUGAAAUCCUGCAGCUUAACUGCAGAACUGCCGUGGAUACUCUCUAUCUUGAAUAUCGUGGAGGUUAGCGGAAUAUGUCAUGUAGCGGUGAAAUGCUUAGAUAUGACAUAGAACACCCAUUGCGAAGGCAGCUAACUACGCGAUCAUUGACGCUGAUGCACGAAAGCGUGGGGAGCAAACAGG